UACGGGGGGGGCAAGCGUUGUUCGGAAUUACUGGGCGUAAAGGGCGCGUAGGCGGCCUGCUAAGUCGGACGUGAAAUCCCUCGGCUCAACCGAGGAACUGCGUCCGAUACUGGUGGGCUUGAAUCCGGGAGAGGGAUGUGGAAUUCCAGGUGUAGCGGUGAAAUGCGUAGAUAUCUGGAGGAACACCGGUGGCGAAGGCGGCAUCCUGGACCGAUAUUGACGCUGAGGCGCGAAAGCUAGGGGAGCAAACGGG
rnacentral:rRNA from 1 species